AAUAAAAACAAAAGAAAAAAAAAGUAGAAAUGUAGGCAAAAGUUAAGAAAUGAGAAAAAAAUUGCAAAUAUUUAAGUACAUUUACGAAAGCACAAGCAGAAGGUUCUCGCUGACGUUGCAAAGAUUCCGCGAAAAAAUUAGAAAAGGAAAACAAAAUAUCAUAGAAACAGGAAUGAUUUGCUCACUUAAACGCUUUGCUUCUUAAAACAAAUGGAAUAUUGCAUACGUUAGUUAAAGAAACUACUUUUGAUAUGUUAAAAAUAACAUCUACGAGUUGGUAUAGAGAAGAAAUGCAUUGAGGAAGGUUUUCACUCCGCUGGUCUUCACUCAAGUACCUCAAAUUCAACCCAUCAAAACAACCAGAGUAUAAUUCAGUUACAUCAUGGACCGACAUGAAUAAUUAAUAAAUUUAGUAAUCAUGUACACAUAGUAAAUUUAAAAUAAUUCAAUGCACAUAUUAAGACGAUUUCAUACGUACUGACGAUGUUUCAAAAAGGAGGAACUCCGACAGACUUUAAAUUACAAAUCUUAAACAUAACAAACUGCAAAACAAACUAGCUACUUUCACUCCUAACAAAAGAGCAAAGGGCGGACUGAUAAAUGGGCUGGAAACUGCAAUAAAAUUUACAACGGCAAAUAUGGAUGAUAAAGGUGGUUAAAUCUAAAUAAUCAAAUAGAAAACUUAAAAAGAUAUAAAGUCAAUAUUGCAAAAUAAAAUAACUUAAACAAUCAAAUGUUCUAAAGAUUCAAAAAUUUAACUUUCCAUAUUAAUAAGUAGCAAGAAAAAAUAGAAUUGUACUUAACAUCAUAUCAACACUCAUACUGCAUCAAUGCAAGAUACAACUAAUUUACGAUUCUUUCACAGUUGGUAGCUUAAUAUCUUACAAGUCUAUUAUAAAAACUCUAAUAUAAUAUUUAAGAUUAGAAUACCAACGCUUUACUAAUAUCUUAAAAGAAUUAUCAAUUUUGUAUCACGAUAUGAAUAUUCCAGUAACAUAUGUACAAAUAAAAUCAAAGACCAUCAUAGAAACAACCAGUCUGCAGAAACUAGAAGACUACCAUAUUGAAGGCAAGGAAGACAUUUUGAUCCUUCAAGAAGAAACAAACAUGAAACCGCACACAACACCUACUAUCGCUUCAACCGUUUUAAACUUCUUGUGGCCUCCACUCUACCAACAUAACUAUAUCGUCACCCAACACAGCUAUAUUGUGAUGUCA